rnacentral:lncRNA from 1 species
UCUCUAUCCUAGCAACGAGUUUCUCUUCACCGGCCUCAUUGUUGGCAGAAUAAGUUCUUAAAAGAAGCUUACCGUUUACGGUCAACUCCAACGUAGCAUUUGAUGGCACAGGAGGGUCAUCUCGGUAUGCUGUCCAGGUGAUUAUAUCAGCUGGCUUACACACCAACCAAAUUCCCACUAUAAAGCCACUGCCCUGUGGGUAGAACCCAAAGGCAAAUGUGCCAGAAGGGGAGCGCCAUGAAGUUGGUUGGACGUUGGUGGAGAUUGAAGAACCUAAACUUAUCAAGGUCGAGUGGUUCUGCUGGGAACUUGCAGGUUUGUAAAUACAAAUAACUAAAAAUAAGAAAGCUGCAUAAGCGAAAGCCAUGAGACGAAGUAUGGAAGAUAGAUGAUACUGUUGUCCUUGUCACUUCUCACGAGUCUCGAAUGACUGUAAAUUACAACAAGGAAAAUGCUAAAGCUAGCACAACCCAAAGGCAAACGGCUGGUUUUUUUUUAUAGCUUUCGGAUAUUAAAAACAUUAUUUUAAUAUAUUUUCAAGUAAAAAAUAUGUUUGAAAAACACCUUAAAUCACAAUACUAGACACACCCAGUCUUUCUAUGGGGACAUUUCCACGCUGUAUUCCAGUAAAAAUAAAGACAUUAUAAGAAGAAUCAUUUUUCCUUGCAAGGUACGUAAAAGACAUAAUUUCUUCACCUGUGAUGUAAGAAGAAGAGGUUGCACAUAUGACUUUAAUUACUGCAGAAAGAUUUUCAACACAAAAGAGAUAAGGAUAAUUGAAUUAAGCAAGACUGAUUGAAAGCGGUUGAGAAAAUUGUCUAUGUUCUCUAUUUCCUCCACUAAUGGUAUAACAGAAAACUGACUUGUGUUGAAGCAAACAACACGGCUUAUUGACAAAAUCAAAAACCUGUCCCUUUCUGACAUGUAUGGUCUCAAAAAAAGUCUUUUAUAUAGUUGAUUUUCUAGUAUUGUUUGUCUAGCAAUAGUGUUUGAUGACUCUCUGCCUUGCAUGUAGCCCAUGCCAAUAACUUAAGCCACGCAGUUUUCUUUCUCUUCUGCCUAGUGAGAGAUGUAAUUUGAGAACAUACAUAUCAUCAGGAUAGUUCCUGCUAAGAGGAAGCCACUGAGAGCUCUUACAAGGUUUUAUUUACAACUUGCUUAACUGGUAAUAAGGUGAAAAAAAGAAGAAGAUUAAAUCGAGAAAACUGGAAAAAAAAAUAACUGAAAAAACUGAACCAUGAAAAAAAAACAAUUAAACCGAUUAAAAUAUUUUAAAAAAUAUUCAGUUUGGUUUAAGCAUUAAACUGAAAAACCUCAAAUGAACCAAACUAGUUUAGUUAAAAAUAAACUGAACAAAACUGAAAAAUUAAAAAAACCGAAUCAAACCGAAACUGAAACUCAUUAGAAAGUCCAAAAAAAAACCCCAAAAAAUAAUAUAGUUUUGGUUUAAAUAUAAAAUAACCGAACCAAAAUAGAAUCGAACUAAAACAAACCGAACAAAACUGAAACUAAUCAGUUGGGUUUUGAUUUUUGAUAUAAAAUAAUCGAACUGAAACCGAUUGGUUGGAAUAGGUUUCAGUUUUGUUUUUGUAUUUUAUAAAAUUUUAAUUUGGUUGUUUCCCUUCUUCUAGUUAAGUUGAAGAUAGCCAAGUAACUGUUAGCCAGUAAUGUCCCCUGACCUAGUCUUCAGGAAGAUUGGUUGCUAAUGUAAUUAGGAGUCUUGGUUUUGAAUUUGAAUUAGUUUUAUCUUCUGUUUCGGUUUGUUAGUUCUCCUUCUAUGAAGGAGUUUAUCCUGCGUUUUUGUUAUUCAAAGAGUUGUAUAAAUAACUCAAUUGGGUUAAUAAUAUUACAUAAUUCCAAAUCAUUCUUAUUGUUAAUAUGGUAUCAGAGCUUUCUUAAUUUGUUUUUGCUCUUUUAUCAUCAUGAUUGAUCCCGACACCACUAGACAAAAUAUAGCCGGCCUACACAACUUGGUGACCAUCAAUAUCACGACACAAGCUCCUCUCAAGCUCAUAAGCUCCAACUAUCUAUCAUGGAAAGUUGCAAUUCCAGACACUUUUUAUUGGUUAUGAUCUCCAAGGUUUCGUUGAUGGAAUGAAACCUUGUCCACCACAACAUCUCAUCACCGAUGACUCAAACACUCCUAAUCCUGAGUAUUAUGCAUGGGUACGUCAAGAUCAACUAAUACUCAAUGCUCUCAUUGGAUUGAUUCACCACACCAUUAUUCCAUUUAUUGCUUGAGCAACUACUUCCCAGGAAGCUUGGAAGAUUUUAGCAUCCACAUAUGCCACCCCCUCCAGAGGCCACUUCAAGCAAGUCAAGGCCAGCUUCAAAGCCCUCACUAAAGGCUCUCUUAACAUCUUGGAUUUCAUUCACUCUCUUAAAGCACGGGUUGAUGAAUUAGCAAUGCUUGACGCCCCUAGAAUUUUUUUUGGAAGAAUUGGGAGAUGACUACAAAGAACUUAUGUGUGUCUUACAAGCCCACGACACUUCAAUAACCUUUGACGAACUUCAUGAGAAAUUACUCAUGUUUGAAGCUUCUUUACAUGCCUUAACCAAAGCCCCCUUGCAAUUCUCACCUACGACCAAUGAAGCCACUGGUCGUCUCGAAUAUCGAUCUCAAGCCUCAACUUUGAGUCGAUCUCACCCUCCUACCUCACCACAAUGGGGCACGUCCUACCAAGGUCCUUCAAGGCUGCAAGGACCAGUUAACAAUCAGGGACUCCACAACCAACAUCUUGGCCCUCGUCCUUACCUAGGAUAUUGCCAGGUUUGUGGACACCAAGGGAACACUGCAAAAAGAUGCCCCCCUUUCAAAUUUGUGCCUCAAGAGACAGAUUUUCCCAAGGCCAAUAAGAAUCCCAACUCGUGGCAGCCAUAGGCUCAUCUUGGUGCAAGCAACAGUCCUAACACUCCUUCGUGGCUGCUAGAUAAUGGUGCUUCUGACCACAUCACAGCUAAUCUAAACAACCUAUCUCUUCACACUCCAUACACUGGCUCGGACGAUGUUAUGAUUCGUGAUGGUUCAAGCUGGCGCAUUACACAUACAGGCUCCACAACUCUACAAACCUUCUCAAAUCUUUUUAAUCUCAGGAAUAUUCUUUGUGUUCUUGAAAUUAAAAAGAGUCUCAUACUUCGAUUGAAAUAAUUUUUUCUGAUGUAUGAACUGUUCCUCUGUACUCAAUUGAUGGCUUUAAAUAUUAUGUUAUUUUGUGGAUCAUUUUACAAGAUAUGCAUGGUUCUAUCAUUUAAAACAUAAAUCUAAUGUAAAACUUACAUUCAUAUGCUUUAAAGCCAUUGUUGAAAAUCAUUUCAAACAAAAAAUCAUAACUUUAUAUUCGGAUAAUGGAGGUGAAUUUGAAGCUAUCAAAGAUAUUUUCAGUUAGAUAGCAUUUAUCAUCGUACUUCCCCACCACACAAACCUGAACACAAUGGUUUCUCUAAGUGCAAGCACAGACACAUAGUGGAUACAAGUCUUUCUCUUCCCACUCAUGCAUCUUUACCCCAAAAUUUUAUUUAAAAUUGAUUUUUUUAUGUUAAUUUAUUAUUUAAAAGUAGUUUCUAAGAUUUGAUUUGUUUUUAAUAGAUGGGAGAUUAUUAAGUAAUAUACUAAAACGCGUAGCUUUUUUACUGUAGCUAAUUUUUUUUUUUUUGCAUUUUUUUUCAUUUUUUCUUCUGUGCCAUUUUUUUUUCUGUAGUAAUUUUUCCUUUUUUGUUUUUUUUUAACGCGUGGGUUUUUCACUGUAGCAGCUUUGUUUUUUUUUUUCCUCGCUUUUGUUUCUUCUGUUUUUUACAUAUAAUGUAUCAUUUGUGCAUACAGUGAAACACUUGACUUUUUCUUCUUUUUUUUUUCUUUCGUUUUGCCCAUGGUUUUUUUUUCUUUUUUCUUUGUGUUUUUUUUUUACUUUUAAUGAAAUUUGUUUUUGUUUAAUUUAGUUUGUUAAUGUGAAAUUUUUUUUUUAAUUUAGUUAUUAUACUUUCAUUACACAGAUCUCGGUUUUUUUUUUAUAUAUUAAGCUGGUUGAGAACUUAGCUUUGUAGCUUUUUUUAAAAAGAAAAAAAAAACACCAUGGAUUACUACAGUGUUUACCUUACAUGAUUUUUGUUUGGCUGCAAUGUUUCCCCCACAUGUUUAUUUUUUAAAUUAUCUUUGUUAAAUUUAUUUUUUUAAUUUUGAGUUGGUUAAGAAUUUAGCUUUAGCUUUCCCCACGUUUUUUCAUUAUAAUUAUUAUUAUAUUGUAUUAUAUUAUAUGACUAUUUUUUCUUUUGUUUUUUGUUUUUAAUUUUUUUUAAUGAAUUGUUUUUGUUUGAUUUAGUUUGUUAAUGUUAAUUUUUUUUAUUUAGUUAUCAUAUUUUCAUGAUACGAAUCUCGAGUUUGAUGGGUUAACUUGAUUUGACGAGUUAUUUUUUUCAUUUAGUUUAGUUUGUUAAAGUUAAUUUUUUUUCUAUUUAAUUAUCAGACUUUCAUGACACGUAUCCUGGGCUUGACGGGUUAACUUGGUUUGAUGGGUUAACCCGGUUAAUUCUGGGUAAACCCGUCAUUUUUUUUUUCUAUUUAGUUAUCAAACUUUCAUGAUGCAAAUCCCAGGUUUUAUGGGAUAACCUGGUUUAAAGGGUUAACCCAAUUAAUUCAAUUUCUUUUUCUUUUUCUUCAUUAGUUUUUUCCUUUCUGUUGAUUUUUUUUCUUUAUUUGUUUUUAAUUAAUCUAUUUAAUUAUCACACUUUUAUGACACGACCUUAUAGCCAAACCCACAUCCAAUAUUCUUGGGUCCGGUGUUACAGUCAGACUCACUUAAACUUGGGUAAUGCAAGUUUAAUUUUAUUAUUAAUAUUAUAAAUAUUACUCUUAGGUCAGGCGUUGCAACCAAACCCAAGAUUCCUGGGUAUAACUUUGCAGAAAAACCCAAGAUUUUUAAAUUUUUAUUUUUUAAAAUAUUUUUUAUACAAAAAAAUAACCCGCGGCAUCGCGCGGGUAUCAAAGCUAGUAGUAACUAUAGACUGUCAUCAUACGAUUCAAACUCUAUCCCCACAACAGGUGGUGGAUAAUGCUUCCUUUGGGAGUCACUAUUCUGAAACACCUUCUACUGUAGCAUCAGCUCUGUUGUUUUCAAGGACAUGGUGUUCAAUAUCAAACGGUUUGUUCGCAGUUGUCCUCAAGAUCGUUGCCUUCAGACAGCUGCAGUAAGGUUGAUUAUCGUUCAUGGUGCAGUAGCUGCUGAGACCGCAGAAAGACUUCACUUCGCACUGACUUUUUGGUGCAUAAUGCAUAAGAGAUGUAGUGUAGGCACCAUUGCUGUCGAAGUUAUGAGAAUACAAUCGAAAAAUUCCAUCGUACUCCAAUGUUGCACGGUAGAUAGUUGAGCUGUUUUCCGAUUCUGAACAGAGGAAAACACACAGGUGUGCCACUGGCCAAGGUGUUGUUAAGGAUUAGCAGUUGCCCGGUAUAAUUCAAGUACAGAUGGGUACCGGAAGCAAAAGUGGCAGUGUUCCAAUAAGCAUCUACUGAAGUGUCUAUAGUGUCUAUGGGAUACAAAACAAGAUUCCCAUCAGAUUGCAUUUUAAGAUGAAACCUUCCUGUUGAAAAAUUGGUUGUAGAUGCACUGGAAAGCAGUUCACCCCCUGCAUAUAGAUUCUGGCCUCCUAAUAUUAUAUCUGUAGGAAAGUUGAAACUCUCCCAAAUGACAUCAGAAUGUUCAUUGUAGAGCACUAGAUUUCCAGAAUCAAGCAUGCGAACGUUUGAAGCUGACUUCUCUAUCUUAGCAAUGAGUUUCUCUUCACCGGCCUCAUUGUUGGCAGAAUAAGUUCUUAAAAGAAGCUUACCGUUUACGGUCAACUCCAACGUAGCAUUUGAUGGCACAGGAGGGUCAUCUCGGUAUGCUGUCCAGGUGAUUAUAUCAGCUGGCUUACACACCAACCAAAUUCCCACUAUAAAGCCACUGCCCUGUGGGUAGAACCCAAAGGCAAAUGUGCCAGAAGGGGAGCGCCAUGAAGUUGGUUGGACGUUGGUGGAGAUUGAAGAACCUAAACUUAUCA